rnacentral:rRNA from 1 species
GAUGAACGCUGGCGGCGUGCCUAAUACAUGCAAGUCGAGCGAACGGACGAGAAUCUUGCUUCUCUGAUGUUAGCGGCGGACGGGUGAGUAACACGUGGAUAACCUACCUAUAAGACUGGGAUAACUUCGGGAAACCGUAGCUAAUACCGGAUAAUAUUUUGAACCGCAUGGUUCAAAAGUGAAAGACGGUCUUGCUGUCACUUAUAGAUGGAUCCGCGCUGCAUUAGCUAGUUGGUAAGGUAACGGCUUACCAAGGCAACGAUGCAUAGCCGACCUGAGAGGGUGAUCGGCCACACUGGAACUGAGACACGGUCCAGACUCCUACGGGAGGCAGCAGUAGGGAAUCUUCCGCAAUGGGCGAAAGCCUGACGGAGCAACGCCGCGUGAGUGAUGAAGGUCUUCGGAUCGUAAAACUCUGUUAUUAGGGAAAAACAUAUGUGUAAGUAACUGUGCACAUCUUGACGGUACCUAAUCAGAAAGCCACGGCUAACUACGUG